rnacentral:ncRNA from 1 species
CUUAUCCAGAGCGGCUGAGGGACUGGCCCGAUGAAGCCCGGCAACCGGCGGGAGACCGCAAGGUGCUAAUUCCAGCAGCGCGGCACCCGCGCUGGCAGAUAAGG